rnacentral:rRNA from 1 species
UACAGAGGGGGCAAGCGUUGUUCGGAAUUACUGGGCGUAAAGGGCGCGUAGGCGGCCUUCUAAGUCGAACGUGAAAUCCCCGGGCUCAACCCGGGAACUGCGUCCGAUACUGGAAGGCUUGAAUCCGGGAGAGGGAUGCGGAAUUCCAGGUGUAGCGGUGAAAUGCGUAGAUAUCGUUUGGAACGCCAACGGUGAAAACAGACAGCUGGGAGUGUGCUGACGCUGAGACACGAAAGCCAGGGGAGCGAACGGG